UACGGGGGGAGCAAGCGUUGUUCGGAUUACUGGCGUAAAGGGCGCGUAGGCGGUCAGCACAAGUCAGUUGUGAAAUCUCCGGGCUUAACUCGGAAAGGUCAACUGAUACUGUGCGACUAGAGUGCGGAAGGGGCAACUGGAAUUCUCGGUGUAGCGGUGAAAUGCGUAGAUAUCGAGAGGAACACCUGCGGCGAAGGCGGGUUGCUGGGCCGACACUGACGCUGAUGCGCGAAAGCCAGGGAGCGAACGGG
rnacentral:rRNA from 1 species